CUUCUUCCCCGUAUGUGGAUGAUUGAAGGAGGGCCCCACUAUCAAGUGACUGCAGGUGAUACAUGAAGGACAUCUAUAGCAUCCAUUCUUCACCGUAGACAGCCACGUCCUCGUUCCCGUAUUCUGAUAGCAAUGUGCUGGAUCUGUUUUUACCAGGAGGUCCCGUAGAUUUCGUCCUCUCUUGUAUGAAAUACGUGGUUUGCAUCUAAAGAUAGGAGGUAAUGUCCGAUCCCUCUCGAGGACAGACCAAUGUGUAUGUAUUGCGUCCAUCAGUGGUUUGUUAUCAGGGGUGAAAGUGGUCACAUAAGUCAAUCUCAUAUCCACCUCCUCAUCGAUCGCAGGAGGAGUACUCUCUAAUAAUUCCUCCUGAGUCCGCUCCAGUGCUCUAUCCUUACACUCAAGAAGCUCACGUCGGUUGUAACCUCUUUGUAUAAACCGUUCGAUCAAAUCAUCAAGUUGUUCAAUAAGAAUAGAGUGUUCAGUGUUAUUCCUCACCAUCCGGAUCAUUUGCGCAUAUGGAAUGCUCUUCAAUGUAUGUGGUGGAUGGCAAGAAGUGUGUAAUAAGAUCGUAUUGCGGUCAGUCGGUUUUCUAUAAGUAGUCGUUUGGAACCUCCCCUCCACGAGUCUUACUGUGAGAUCCAAAAAGGAGACCUGAUAUUGAUCAAUGGAGGCAGUGAACCUGAUGGUCGAGGUUAGCGAGUUUAGAUCCUGUAGCAUUAGUUCAAACUGUUGCUUGGUUCCUGUCCACACGAGGAACAGAUCAUCGAUGAAUCGAUAUAGUCUAUAGAUGUAUUUGCCAUAGUGAGGCAAUAUCUUACUCUCCUCGUACCUCGCCAUAUAGAGGUUCGCGAAGGCAGGAGCCACAUUCGACCCCAUACUUGUACCACUGAUCUGUAAAAAAUAUGACAGUUCGAACUUAAAAUAAUUACAAGUGAGGCACAACCGAAGGAGAUCCACUAGGAAAUCCGUAUGCGGACGUUUACUAUCCGGAAAACCACAAAGAAACUCACGAACAGUCUGAAUACCCUCCUCAAUUGGGAUCACAGUAUAAAGUGACGAUACAUCCAUCGUGACAAGCCAGGACCCCGCCGGGGAGGGAGGGAGGUUGGGUUUUCGCGCCAGAACCUGGGUAUUUAAGGGUAAUUUGUUUGUAUUCAUGUAUCUUUGACAAAGGCUGGUGUUGCAGCCGAAACGUUAGAUUUUCUAAUAAACGCACUAUUUUCAAUAAGUCCUGUGCUGUGCGGCUUCUUUGGUGAAGAUUGUAUGCGGCUUUUGCGAGGCAUGCACCCAGGCUACGU